rnacentral:snRNA from 1 species
GUACUCGCUUCGGCGGUACAUAUACUAAAAUUGGAAAGAUACAGAGAAGAUUAGCAUGACCCCUGCGCAAGGAUGACAAGCAAAAUCAUGAAGCGUUCCAUAUUUCU